rnacentral:rRNA from 1 species
UACAGAGGUCUCAAGCGUUGUUCGGAUUCAUUGGGCGUAAAGGGUGCGUAGGUGGCGCGGUAAGUCGGGUGUGAAAUCUCGGGGCUUAACUCCGGGCCUGCAGUGGGUACGGGCUGACUAGAGUGCGGUAGGGGAGACUGGAAUUCCUGGUGUAGCGGUGAAAUGCGCAGAUAUCAGGAGGAACACCGAUGGCGAAGGCAGCUCGCUGGGACGGUACUGACGCUGAGGCGCGAAAGCGUGGGGAGCAAACAGG